rnacentral:rRNA from 1 species
AGAAUCAACGCUGGCGGCGUGCCUAACACAUGCAAGUCGAACGCGGUUACCCCGCAAGGGGUAACUGAGUGGCGAACGGGUGAGUAACACGUGGGUGACCUACCUUCGAGUGGGGGAUAACGUCCCGAAAGGGACGCUAAUACCGCAUAACAUCCUGCCUUUGAACAGGUGGAGAUCAAAGCUGGGGAUCGCAAGACCUGGCGCUUGAUGAGGGGCCCGCGUCCGAUUAGCUAGUUGGUGAGGUAACGGCUCACCAAGGCGACGAU